AUAACUGUCACUUUUUCACCAGCCUACUAGUAUCCAUAGGGGUUCAUAGGGAUGUCCCCGCCACACAAGAACCCUUUCUUUUAACAAUCUCAAUUACGAGCUGUUCCCAUACCCCAUCCCGUAUGAGCGCCAAAUUAUUAAAUCUCAAUACCUCAUCCGGUAUGAGAGUGAAGCAGACCGUCCUCAUACCCUAUCCGGUAUGAGCACCAAAUUAUCAUGUCUC
rnacentral:lncRNA from 1 species